CUCCCCGGGAAGGAGUGGGUCUGGGUCCAGUCCGUAGGACCCCCUCGCGGAUGCUGACGCGGAAUGGAGUUGAGGUGGGGGAGGCGCUGGACCCUAGGGCCCCUGCCUGCCUCCUGGGGAGCCCGGUGACCCAGGCAGCCCUGGUGAGGCCGCAGGAGUCUGGGCCCUAGCGACGCCCCCGGGCUCCCACAGGACGAAUGUAGACGGUGAGGCCAAGGACGCCCUGCUGCCCUCGGGACUGUCCCUCCAGCCCCCAGCUUUCCGUGGUUAUUGGGCCCCCUCUGCAGAGGGGCAGGGGAGCCCACCCUGGAUCCUGAGGCGCCGAGCUUGAGGGACCCCAGAGCUCCAGCCAGGCCGCUUUCUUUGCGGAUGGUGAAGCUGAGGUCCCGAGGAGGGCAGGGGCAGGUCCCGGGCGCUCCUCAGGCAAAGGGAGCCGAUUUAGGGGCUGGGGUCACAGGAGGCGCUUCUGCGACCUCUAGGGCCCUAGAGCCCGGGAGGAUGAGAGACUGGGGGCCUUUCGUCCACCCCUGGGGCUGGGCAGACGCUCAGCCUGUGCAACCCGAAGCUGCUUCUGCCCAGUCCAAGCUGCGGCCCCUUUAAGAGGGGGUGGUGCUUCAGCCUGGCGCCAGGGAGGCUGCCAGCAUGCAGGCCCCGACGGAAGCCGAGACUGCGCUUCGUGCGAGGCCCGGGCAGCAUCGGCGGCGUGGUCAGAGCGAGUCUCGGAGAAGAUGUGGCUUCCGUUUGUUGGUGGAGGAGGUGGCAGGUCUCGGCGGGUAACCCAGAGAACACAGCCGAAGUGGAAUGUGGGAAAGUCUGCGACACUGGGGACAGAGCAACUGUGGAUGAAGAGGGCAACAUCUGGUUCCUGGGGAGGAGUCAUGACACUAUCAAUGCCUCUGGGUGGUGAAGGCAUUGAUUGUCCUGACCCCACAGUUUCUGUCCCAUGACAAGGACCAGCUGACUAAGGAGCUGCAGCAGCAUGUAAAGUCAGUGACAGCCCCAUCUGCCACCAGCACUCACUCCAGCCACUAAAGCCAGAAAGUUGAAAGACCUCUGCCCUCAUCUGGCCCAGCCCCCAUCCAGCCAAAGACCUGUCAUUUCAACCUCACGCCCACCCCGCUUUCCACUCCCACUGCUCCUGCCUUAGUUCAGACCACCACCGUCGCUCUCCUACCCAGUUCAAGCCAAGCUGACCUGGCCAGUGGCCUUCAGACCUUCCCUUCUCCAUCCUGCCAUGUCCAUCCUCCACAGGCAGAACAGGAAGCUGUCAUGUAAAAGUGCAGGUCUGCUUUGGUCCUUCUCCUAAACCCUUCAGUGGCUUCCCGGUUCCCUUUGGGUCCUGGUACAGAUUCCUUAGCAUGGCCAGGGAGGACAGCCCUCCAUGAUCCUCCCCUCCCUGAGAUGCUCCUCCUGCCCCAGCACCCUGUGUUUGAGCCCAAGCCCGCCCUGUGGUGUCGUGGGAGGCCCAGCUCCUCUGCCUGGGGUGCCUUGCCUGGCCUAGGAACUGGGAAAACUUACCUGCUUCCAAGACUCAGCUCUAGCACCUCUUCCUGCUGGGUGUUUUCCGAUGCCCCCCCUCUCGCCACCUCAUGGGGACCCCACAGUCCCCUGAAGAGCCUUCUGCCCCAGUGCCUCACCCCACUCUUUAGACCUGUUUCUGUUUCCAUGGCUGCCUCGCCUUCUUAGACCACGGGCUCCUGCAGAGCGGGACCCCAUAUCUCAGUCGGCUUUGCAUUCCCAGUGCCUGGCCGAAACUGAGGCUGGAAUGGUCUCCUAUUCCAUAAGCUCUCAAUAACUCUUGAAAAAUGACUGGAAUCCUGGACAGCGCCAAGGCAGCAACUGGGAUGGGAGAGUGAUCUGCUGCCCUCUCCUGGCAAUGUGAGGAAUUGUCCUGAGCACAGACAACUCCCUCCCUGCCUUGCACAAGUGCAGGAUGGGGGAAACUGGAAAAGGAGCUGAUGGAGGACUGGGGAGGUGGAUGCUGUCUAAGGAGACAAACUGAAUUGAGGGGUUGCUGGGACUCUGCUGGCUCACACGCUAUUCCCAUGUCAUGGGCCCAGGGGCCAAGUCAGUGCUUCCAAAGGAGGGUGCAUCCUGAGAGAGGCUCUGGCUCCCCCAACAGAACCCUAAACUCUUGAAGGACAUCUUCCUUCUCAAUAUACCCGAUUGCUGUGUUGUUGUAACUAUCACUGUAACUUUUAUUCACUUCAGUGGGCGAUCACUGAGUUUUUCCUCCAUUGUUGUACAACAUGUGUUUUGCUCUUAUGUGUAAAAUGACUGUGAAUUUAGCCACUGCCUUCUCCUGAUUUUAACUCAGCUUUCUACUGCUAGGAGGUUAUCUCUGUUCUGGGUUUCUCAGCUUUCUAUCAAAACCCAAAUACUGUCAUUCCUCGGUAUCCGUAGGGGAUUGGUUCCAGGAGCCUCCCUUGAAGAUACCAACAUUGCAGGUGCCCAAGUCGCUGAUAGAGAACAGCGCAGCAUUUGCAGACAACCUAUGUACACACUGCAUGCACUUUCAAUCAGCUCUAGAUUACUUCUGAUACCUAAUUCAAUGUAAAUGCUAUGUCAGUAGUUGUCUAGGGAAUAAUGACAAGAAGAAAAUUUUGUACAUGUUCAGUAUGUAGGGAAAAGAAAGAGAGAUCAGACUGUCACUGUGUCUAUGUAGAAAGGGAAGACAUAAGAGAUUCCAUUUUGAAAGAGACCUGUACUUUAAACAGUUGCUUUGCUGAGAUGUUGUUAAUUUGUAGCUUUGCCCCAGCCACUUUGCCCUAGCCACUUUGACCCAACCUGGAGCUCACAAAAAUAUGUGUUGUAUAAAAUCAAGGUUUAAGGGAUCUAGGGCUGUGCAGGAUGUGCCUUGUUAACAAAAUGUUUACAAGCAGUAUACUUGGUAAAGGUCAUCGCCAUUCUCUAGUCUCAAUAAAACAGGAGCACAAUGCACUGCGGAAAGCCGCAGGGACCUCUGCCCUUCAAAGCGGGGUAUUGUCCAAGGUUUCUCCCCAUGUGAUGGUCUGAAAUAUGGCCUCGUGGGGUGAGAAAGACCUGACCGUCCCCCAGCCCGACACCCGUAAAGGGUCUGUGCUGAGGUGGAUUAGUAAAAGAGGAAGGCCUCUUGCAGUUGAGAUAGAGGAAGGCCACUGUCUCCUGCCUGCCCCUGGGAACUGAAUGUCUCGGUAUAAAACCCGAUUGUACAUUUGUUCAAUUCUGAGAUAGGAGAAAAACCACCCUAUGGUGGGAGGCGAGACAUGUUUGCAGCAAUGCUGCCUUGUUAUUCUUUACUCCGCUGAGAUGUUUGGGUGGAGAGCAACAUAAAUCUGGCCUACAUGCACAUCCGGUCAUAGUACCUUCCCUUGAACUUAAUCAUGACACAGAUUCUUUUGCUCACAUGUUUUUUGCUGACCUUCUCCUUAUUAUCACCCUGCUCUCCUACUACGUUCCUUUUUGCUGAAAUAAUGAAAAUAAUAAUCAAUAAAAACUGAGGGAACUCAAAA